GUUAUGACUUACCCGGUUGUGUUGGCAGAGACCCAAGCGCGUGCGGGCAGGAAAGCUAUGCGUCAACCCGGGAAUUGAUAGUAGUAGGUUAAUAGUCGACGUCUUCCUGGUCCUCCAGUAUGACAUUUCAGCUCACCUUUCGCGUAGGGCGGACCUGGCCUUUGCUCUUGUUUCGUCUUUGGCUUAGCUCUUUUGCUGCGGAAUCUUCAGCGUUGGGGACUUUUUGCCUUUACGUUUGCGGGUUAUGAGAAGGCUGACGAGGUGUCACUCCGCUCUGGAGCGCCCUUGGUAUACUUACACUUCGUAGCAAUGCUUGUGAUAAAUUAUUAGUCCGAUUUGGUGAUUCCUCAGGAAUACUGAAGGGCUCUUUGGCUCAUUUGGUUGUCAUUAUGUAGGGUACUUUAGGGAAGAGAGUGAAACUGGCUUUUUAGGAAUACCGAAAACGUGUGGAGAUCCAAAAUGGAAAGCAGAUUCCUUCCUGUCUUCAUUUAAAGUGUAAAGUGAAUCGCCUUUUGGAAGGUUCAUUAUCUUGUAUUUCAAUUUCAGCAGUUAUGAUGAGAGCAGUUUUUGUGAAAUGUGUAACUAUUUCAAGUGCUUAAAACAAAUUAAAUCUUUUAUUGUUGUACAAGAUCGAGUCCAAAGAAAAAAACAAUUGUUUUCCAUAGGCAACGUUUUAAAUAGUUUUAGGAAUUUUAAAAUAUUGUUUUCUGGUAUUGUGAGAGUAAUAUUGUAUAGCUCCUUUGUUUUGCAAGCUUUUUAGUACAUUUGCAAAUUUCUUUGGAGUGAGCUGCUUGUUCAGUAAGGAUUUGGUUUUAAGACAACUCAAAUAUUUUGAGGGGCACUAAGUGUAUUUUAUUGUAACAAAUUUAUGUGUGUGGCAUUUCACAUAGUUUUACCUGAAAGAAAAAAUCACCUUUGGGGAAUCAUGAAAUUGCCUUAGAUAGCCAUUAUCUUUGGUCGGAGGAAUUUAAUGUAACCCCUAUAAUGGGGUGUGUUCUCUUGAGAAGUUAAAAGAACUUUUGCUUUUACUUUUUGACAGGUUGAGUUUACAGAGGAAAUUUCCUCUACUGGAUAACCGUAUUGCCGUUAGGGACUUAGAAGCCUUUAAAACCAGUUUUAGGCCAGGAUAUGUGUGCAGAAUUUGAAGCUUUCUCCCUAGAAAAGUUGUAACGUUGCCAUAGUAAGAGACUAAUAAUAGUGGAGAAGCAAGCUAAAAAAACAACUCAACCCUACACAGUAACAUUCCUAUGUUUCACUUAUUUUAGGUAUUGAAGAGUUAUUAGUCAUGAUUAUAGAACAGGUUUUUCUUGUGUUAUACAUGAAUGUAAUUCACAAGGACCAUUUUUAAAAGUUUGGAUAUCAAUAACCACUUUUUUUUAAAUUAAUUAUUUAUUUAUUUAUUUUAAAGAUUUUAUUUAUUUAUUUGAGACAGAAUGAGAGAGAGAGCACAUGAGAGGGGGGAGGGUCAGAGGGAGAAGCAGGCUCCCCGCCAAGCAGGGAGCCCGAUGCGGGACUCGAUCCCGGAACUCCAGGAUCAUGACCUGAGCCGAAGGCAGUCGCUUAACCAACUGAGCCACCCAGGCGCCCUCAAAAACCACGUUUUAAAAUUGACUUCAAAAAAAAGUAUUUCAUUGAAAAAUUUAGAGAGACGUAUUCAGUUUACUUAUUCAGUGAACACUUAUUGAAAGCUUUGUGCCAUCCCUAUAUUUAAUUAAGAUUAUUCAGCUGAGUAAUUCAGCAGUAAUCAGUUUAUAUUUGGGGAUUCAGUGCUAAACAAGGUGGAGGAAAAGAUUUACAGUUUGUAGUUUCAUGGGGAAAGCACCCAGUAAAACAGUGAAACAUGUUAGGUUUUAUCUUUGCCCUCAAGGAACUCAAAGACUAGUGAGGGAGACCUAAAAGGCAUGUAGGUGCUAUAAUAGAGGCAGAACGGCUAUGAAGAAAGAACCCACCCGCCCAAGUUUCUUGGAAGAGGCUAAUUUUCAUUUGGGGGGUGAGGGAAAAGGAUUGGGCAAGGGAAUGGUGGUUUACUCAACCACUGAUGUAAAAGAACAUGUGGCUUAUAACUUAAUGGUUUGCUGUGUGCUUCUGUUCUAGGGUGGGAUAAUGGGGAGGAUUGGGAAACAGGAGGGGUAGGAUGAAUUAGGAGAGGUGACCUUUGGUGUCAUUUGAUUCCUUCCUUAAUGUUAUUUUUCUAGUCAAAGGUAAAUAAUUUCCUUUGAUGGAAACCUCUCUGUAUUCCAACGCACAGUUCACCACUAAGUGAGGAGACUCAUUUCAAAUCCACAGUCUCCUUAUGCUUAGUUUGAUGAUGAUGAUAAUGAUAUAAAGUCAUUUCAUUCUGACUUGCCCUAAAUCACCUGUAAUUUUUAGUUUAAAUCUGUUAAAGGAUAGUUUUCAAAAUUCUCUUAUCUUUCAGUAGGCUUAUUUAAAUUCUUUUGAACUCAACAUUUGACUAAGAUGGUUUCUCCGAGAGUGACUCAUUUAAUCAUUCUGAGAAUAGGUAGUGAAUUUUUCUGUCAUAUGCAUAACAAUCAUCUUGAUAGAAUUAUCAGCACUUUGCAUAAUUAUGGAGAAACAUAUCAGUUUAAUACAUUUUUAUAAAUACCUGUUUUACUAAAAAUUUUUGUUUUAUAUAAUUGUCAACAUACGAAGAUUCUUUUAUAAUGGUGUAAUGAAUUCUGAGGUAGUUCUUCUGUUGCUUUAGUAAAGAAAAAGAGGUAGAUCUUUUCAAAUUCUGUUUAAGCCAUGGCAGUAAUUUGACCUAGAAUUCAGAUUUGGAAUUUGAUAUUAUAUCUGAGAGAUGAUUUUUUUGUCAUUAUAUUUUAUUAUUAUUAAUUUUUUCCAAUUGUAUUAUACAAUUUAUUUGUAUUAUACAAUUCGUUUUUCCUUCCUAUUAGUUGGAAGAAAUUUAGAAAAUGCUUAAAUUGUGAACGUAUUCUUCCUCCUAAUAAUCAGAGAAAGGAGAGUAGACUAAAACUAUUGUGUUGAAGGUGGCCCAUAACAGUAUCAAGCCAAUAAAGAAAAUUAAGCUCUCUGAGGAACCAAGAAACUGUGAUGUGUCCGCCAGAGCAUCUUUGAAUAGCAGCAUGUUACUAAGAAGUACAAGUGAGGAUGUGGAGUUCUUCUACUCUUGGCACAUUUUUAGGUCUUUCAGAUCAGCUCCUGUUUCACAGUGGCUUCAUCAGAUUCCUGGGGCGCCCCCCCCCCCCCCCGCCUUUCCUGGGCCACAGACAUCUUAUUCAUUCCUUAAAAGCUUUGGAGUAGCUCUUGAUUGUCCCCUGGAUAAAAGUCCGAUUUUAUUUAUUUAUAUAUUUUUUAGUAUGGCAUUUAAGCCCUUCCAUGAUGUGCUGUCUCCUCUUGUAACACCUCUUUAUCUGCACACAUCCAUACUUUCCCCCUGCGAAAGAAAAACCUUUCUCAUAUCCAAGCUUGUUCUGUUUUGUUGGUUAAGGUAAAAUCCCUGACUCAUACUUAGACCAUGUUGCCUCAGGUAUUUUCCCUCUCAUGUUUUCAACCAGUGGCUUCUUCCUUUAAACAUAUAAAUACACAUAAAUCUUUCAUUUUAAAAACAAAUAAGCAAACAGAAUACUCUUUGACUCCCAACUCCUUCUGGUAUAUGUCCCUCUCUGUCCCUCAUUUCCUUUGCAGUUAGACUUCUUAGAAAAAUUGUCCCAGGGCGCCUGGGUGGCUCAGUUGGUUAAGCGACUGCCUUUGGCUCAGGUCAUGAUCCUGGAGUCCCGGGAUCGAGUCCCACAUCGGGCUCCCUGCUUGGCGGGGGGUCUGCUUCUCCCUCUGACCCUCCCCCCUCUCAUGUACUCUCUCUCUUAUUCUCUCUGUCGCAAAUAAAUAAAUAAAAUCUUAAAAAAAAAAAUUGUCCCUGUUCACUGUCCAGUUUCUCACUGUCCACUGUAGUACUACUUUUGUUCUCACUGCUUAUUGAUUGCUGAUUGAAUUGGUCAUUUCCAUUUCUUAUCUCUUUGGCACUUGACAUUAUUAACAAUUUCUCUUUUUAAAAAUUCAGUUCUUUUGAUUUCUGUGUUAUUGUCUUCUAAUUCUCUUCUUUGCUCUCUUUAUUGUCUCAUUUGUGGGCUUUUUGUUAAUUGCUAAUGUUUCUGAGAUUCUGAUUUGGUUUUAUCUCAACUUUCCUUGUUCAGUCUCAUUGUUUUGAUGAUUUUCUCUUCUUUGCUCUCUCUUUGCACAUGUUGGUUCACACCCAGAUUUGUAUUUUAAUUGAGACUUUACAGUAGUCAGUUCUAGAAUUGCUUAUUGAUUGUCUGGAUUUGAAUUUUAAUUUAGGCUUUUUGGGGACGAGGGCAGAAGGAGAGAGAGAAUCUUAAGCAGGCUAGGAGCCCUACACAAUGCUUGAUUUCACAACCCUGAGAUGAUGACCUGAGCCAAAAUCAGGAGUCCGACGCUUAACUGUUUGAGCCACCCAGGCACUCCUUAACUCAGAGUUAGGAAUGGUGGUGCUGUCAGACUCAGUAUAUCCCACAUGGGUUUUUUACAACCCAAGCCUACUUGUCUUCCCAUAUUUUUAAUUUUCUGGUGGCAUCGUGGUUACUUAUACCAGAAAUAUUCUGUAUAUCUACUAAUUAAAAUCUGUUUUUCUACAUCCCAUAGAUAACUCUUGAAUCUCUUUUAAAACAACUGUACUUUUAAAUUUAUUCAUUUUAAUUCAUUUAAUUAUACAAUAAAGAUUUGAGUUUCUGCUAUAUGUAACAAGUGUUGAAUAAAUGUUAGAACUACAGUUCUGAAUAAAACAGAAUCUUUUAUUCAUGAGGCAAUUCUAAUGGGAGAGAUAGACACCAAUCAGGUAAUCAGAAGAAGGAACUGUAGCUAUGAAAAGGUGUGUAGUGCUAUGAAAAUGUAAAAUAGGAGACUUUGAUCUGGACAGGGAAGACACAAUUGGACUAAGAUUUUCUAAGAAUGAGAAGUUUUCCUGGGUGAAGAAAGGAAAAUGCAGUAGGAGCUGCAUGUAUUUGUAAAGAUCCUGUGGCAGAAGGAAACAUGAAACAUUUAAAUGUUGCUAAACAUGUUAAAGUAACAUCUCCUGAGUGUGGUGUUGGUUUGUAGGUUGAGUAAGGAGUUUUGUUUUUAUUCUAACCCAUUGAGGGAUUUAAAGUGGGGGGAAUGGUAGAGGAAGAGGGAAUGGAGUGAUAAUCACAUAUGUAUUUAAAAAAAAAAACAUAAUUCUGGUAACAACAUGAGGUAAUAUAGGGGGGAGAUAGAGAUGAAUUAGGCAGUUGUUUUGGUCCAGGCAAGAAGUGACAACUUGGUCUGAGGUAUUGGGAGAUGUAUGUAGAGGGUCAAGCCAGUGAGACUUGGUGGUCUAUUAGAUAUGCUUAUGCAGAGUAGAGGUAUCUUGGAUGUCUCUAACAUUUCUGGCUUACAUACUGGAGGAAUGGUGGUGCUAUGCGCUGAGCUAAAAAAAAGAAACACUGGGUAUUUGAAUGAGGACCACAUGUGUUUUACUUGGGGUGUGUGGGAGUGGUAGGAGGAGGAUCCUGAUCUCACUAGGUAUGUUACAUGUGUUUAGGUCCUUUCAAGAUAAUGAAUGAAAAGGUAACUAGUAGGUUUUGGUUUUAUGGAUGUGUUACUGAGGGAGGGGUCUGGACUUUGGAUAAUUACUUUAUUUCGGGUGAUUAUCUCUUGUCUUUUUUCUACUAGUCUAUAGACAGGCCUGCGUUUCACUAGUGCCCCCCUCUCUCAAGCCUGUCUUCCAAACUGCUGCUAGAACUACCCUUUGUAAAAUGCAAACCUGAUAUUAUUUAAAGAACCUGGCACGUUUUCCCAUUAUGUAGAUGAGAAAGUCCAAAAUCCAAUGCCUACCUCUUCAUUUCUUCUCUUCAUAGCUCUGGUUACAUGAAACCAUUUUCCCAAACACUUUAAGCUGUUGCAAGACUUUGCACAGGCUCUGUCCAGAAUAAUGUUCUCACUCAUAUCUGUCAAGCAGUCUCCAGUUCAAGAAUCCCUUCAUUUGUGAAUCUUUGACUUUUGCAGUCCACGUUGGUCACCACCUUCCUUCUUAAGGCCAUUAUUGAAGCUUGUGCUUAUCUGUAAUACCAUAUCAGCACUUAACCACAUUACAUAGUAUUUAUGCUUAUAUAUUUUUUCUCUCCCAAACUGUAGGGUUAGCUACUUGAGGAUAUACUUGUUUAUUUUAUUUUUACGUCCAUGGUAACAAGAUCUGGCAUGGAUGAUUGCCCAAUAAACGUUGAUUGCGUUGAUAGGACUCCGAUGAUUUCUCCUAUAAUUCCGUGGUUUUCAUCUUGGAUCUCUUUUCAGUGGGGUUUUUCAUCUUUCUUUGCAGUGUGAAGCAGGACUAGGUGAUUUCCUGGAUGUUGUUCUGGCCCUAAAGGUUUUGAAUAUGUGUGACAGCUGAGAACAAAAAGAAAACAGGAUAUUUCUGUAAGUGGGCAAAUAUAUAUAAAGAAUUGGGAAAACUGGGUUUGUUCUUGGAGUUUGGUAUUUUGUGAUUGUUAGUAUUGGUAAUUUUUUUUGUUGGUUUCUUAUAUUAGUUACCUUUUAGUUUCCUUUAUGUAAGACUUUCCUUCACCAUGCAGAGAUGUUCUGUGAGGAGAGUCUGUUAGCAAGCACCCUUUUAUUUUCUCAGAGGCACUUCCUGCCCUCUAUUUUUCUUGUGCUUUUGGAUCUUAAUCUUAGCGGACUGCCUGUCAGAGGAGAAGGUGGUUAAUGUUAAUAUAGGAUGAAUCUUACUUUUUUCUUCAACCUUAAAAAGUUGUUUUCAAAGAAGAUUAAAUGUAAGAGGAGCGCUAUUAUUUGCAAAAGCUUGUUUUUUUUUUUUUAACUGAAAUGUGACUCAAAUUACUAGAUAAAAGGUUUAAAACUUCUUAUGAAAGAUUUCAAAUAUUCAUAAAAGUAUUGUAAUGAACCUUUAUACUUAAAUCUAAUAAUUCAUAUACUUAAAUUUAAUAAUUAUAGCAUUUUAUCAUGUUUGUUUAUAUUUUCUAUGUUUGCUGCUGUUUUAAAAUAGAUUCUGGAUAUCAAACAUUUCAAACCUAAAUCCUUGAGCUUGCUUUUCUAAUAAACAAAGGGACAUUUUCUUUACAUAAUUAUAAUGUCAUUAUCUUAAAACCAAAAAUAAGUAUUUAAUAUCAUCUAAUACUUAAUCUAUUGAAAUUUUCCUAAUUAUACUUCUGUUCAGUCUUCUGUGUAUUGCAUUUGGUUGUCAUGUAUCCAGGUCUUAAUUUUAAACACUGCCUCUCCCACCUCUUUUUUUUUCUUUUUACCAUACUAUUUACUUGUUAGGAAGAUCAGAUUGUUGUUCUAAUAUUCUAGAUACUCUAGAUAUUCUGAAAUGUGUUUCCUGUAAAUUUGGAUUUAGAUUUGAAGGCUUGAUUAGAUUUAGGUUUCAGUAUUUAUUGGUAAAAAUACUUCAUGGAUGGAAUUCUGUCACAUCAGGUAUAGACUGUCUGGUUAUCCCAGUUUUAGUGAUGCUGAUUUGUGGUAACAGCCUUCAUCGAAAAGUUGCAUAGAUAUGAGCCUGUUUCUGGUAAUAUGUGCAAGAAAAAAGGUUGGAAAGAAAAUGUUAACAGUUAGCUCUGCUUUAGGGUUCGGGUGUCUUUUGUUUUUAUAUUUUUACUUUUCUGUGUUUUCCAGGACUCCACAUUGAACAUGCGUUGCUUUUUAUAAGAGAGGAAAACUUAUUUUGUUAUUAGUCUUGAUACCUUUGGAAGAUUAGAUCCCAAAGUCUUCAUUUGUUCUUCCUGUAUUACUUCCUUUUAUUUUUAAUUAGUAAUUUAAGUCUUUUGCAGUCUGAGGUCUUAUUUUUUUAAAUAAUUGGUCAAGUUAUAGGACGGUAAAUAGAAAACAGGUCUAAUGUUUGCAACCUUCCAGUAACAGUUCACAAAUCGAGUUAUAUAAAGACAAACAGAAGACCAUGUGCAUGUGAAAGUAAAUCUAAUUUAUAGUCUCCCACAAUAAUUUACAAAUCGUAACUGUAUAAAUGUGUUGUUUCUUUGAGCUCUUACUAUGGGCAUCAGUUGAUGUUCUCUUGUGAGAAGUGUGAGAAGUGAGACUAACAUUUUAUUUCUCUGAGAAUGGCUCCUGCAGAUAAAUUUUUAGGAUCCCUCUUCCCCCAGUGUUGAUUGGUUCAGUGGUGAGCACCUAACCCAAGGCCAGCCAAUAUAUAUAUAUGCUGAUGACUGACCAGCCAGAAUUUGGAUGCCACCCCUUUAAAAAGCACAUUUAUAGGUAGAUGAUAGGUUAGAUCUUUAAAGUAGGCUGAUUUUUGCCAUGUGUAAGCAGAAGCAACUAGUUGAGAGAGAAGAGGGGGAGAAAAGCUGGCUAGAGAUCUUGUAGUCCCAGGAAUUACUUUCUCUUGAAUGAAGCCUCUUUUUUUUUUUUUUAAGAUUUAUUUUAUUUAUUUAUUUAUUUUUAAGAUUUCAUUUAUUUGACAGAGAAUGAGAGAGAGAGAGAGAAGCGCGUGUGCACAAGUAGGCAGAGCGGCAGGCAGAGGGAGAGGGAGAAGCAGGCUCCCCGCUGAGCAGGGAGCCCAAUGCAAGGGAUCGAUUCCAGGCCCCUGGGAUCAUGACCUGAGCUGAAGGCAGCCGCUUCACUGACUGAGCCACCCAGGCGCCCCUUAUUUAUUUUAGAGAGCAAGCGAGAGAGCAUGUGUGUGAGUUGGGGGAGGGUCAGAGGGAGAGAAUCUCAAGCAGACUCCCUGCUGAGCGGGGCAUCAACGCUGCCAGGCUUGAUCCCUCCAUCCUUGAGAUAUGAUCUAAGCCGAAACCAAGAGUCGGACAGCUCAACCUAACCACCCAGGUGCCCUGCAGCCUCUUGUUUUAAGGCCAGCUAUACCUCAUUUCCUGUGUCAUUGAGACUCCUUAUAUCUUUAUAAUAAAUUCUUAAGUAUGGUUUUGCUCUUCAUAAUAAGUUCGUUGCUUAAACAAGAUUGGACUUCAUAAUUUGUGAAAAUAUAUUCAACUUUGAUUGUCACACAUUUCACCUUAUGAAAGUAAUCUAGAUUAAUGUCUUAAGUUUUUAUGGAAAAAAAUCCACAUAGAUAUUUUUGAUCACUUACUCGUCAUUAAUAUACCAUAGUUUGCUUAGCUGCUUUUUGCUGGCAUUUGGAAUGUUCUCUAUAACUAGAGUAAUCAUGAACAUUUUGUACUAUUUUCAAAAUCCAGAUUUAAAUGAAUGAGUUUAGUUAAUGUGUAUUUUAGCUUUUUAAGGAUUCAGUUACUAUUUUAAAAAAUAGAGAUGUUAAUUAAAAAAAAUUGUUAACAUGAGAGGACUUUAAAAUACUUAGCUUGCAGUAUAAUUUGAUAGGUUUCUUAUGGGCCUACAUUUUGACAGCUUUUAUUUUGUAGCUGUGUACUUCCAUAUGUAUCCAUCCACACACAUAUAUCCAUUUAUACGUAUUUACUUUAGUACUUGGAUAAUCUGAUGUGAAUUGGAGUGACUGCCAUACCUUUAAAGGUAUAGGGUAUCUUUGUUCCUGUUUAGUUUUUUUCUCUCUAAAACCAAAUUUACUUUUAUAACAUUGGGGAAGAUGAAUCACUUGAUCUUGUUUUCUGAGUACUGUUCCCACUGCCAAAAACUUCACUGACAAUAAAAUCCUCAGAAGAUGUGUUUUUCUGAAUUUCUUUAGUCUCCCCCCCCCCAGCAUUUUGCAAAUAAAAGGCUUUAUGAACAAAUUAAGCUAAUAGGUAUACAUGUUUAAAAGUCUUUCUGAUCAUAAAAUUCUCGACACUUAAGCAUGGAAUGCUUAAUGUAGUGAAUUGAAAAAAGAUGGAAAAGUGUAAAGCAAAUAAAAUUACUCAAUGUUACCAUCUAGAAAUAGCGACUGCUAACAUUUGAUGUAUUUUUAUGUUUUCUGUGUAUAAUUCUACACACUUAUUUCCUGUAUUUUUGUUAAUAUUAUUGUGAUCAUUUUCUCAUGUUAUGAAUAUUUUGCUUCUGAUCUAACAAGUUUUAGAUCUGUAAAUGGUGCUAAAAACUUUUAUUUCCAUUUCUCCCCAAAUAUCCAUUUUCCAUUUAUUUCCUACCAUCCUACUUAUCUAGAUUUUAAAAAGUUAUCUAAACUCUUAAGAUUUGGAGCACCUCUCUUUUAAUAAAGAUGUUAAGUAUCAGGCAUCCUUCAUGUUUAGCCUUGAAUGGAAAUGUUCUCUUUCAAAUAGUUUUUUAAGUGUGUGUACAUCUUAUUUUUCUUUAGUAGAAGGUUACACAAUGGAAGGGUGUAAUUUAUAUAAAGUUACAAAUCAAAAUGUUCUAUUUCUCUGAAAAGACAAUUUAUUGUUCAUUCUCUCCCUCAUGUUUUCAACACUGUCACUGGGAUUGUUUAGGUCAGAGUGAGCAGCCUGUGCAUCAAAAGGUCUGAAAAAGCACUUCUAAAAUGUUUACAAUAACUUUAUACAAAAUGUUAAUAAAGCUGUGGAAAUUUAGGAUUGAAUUAUCUGCCAUCUUGUCAUAGAAUAGAAGAUAUUCUUUAAUUAAAGCCAUAAGCAAGUGAAGUUGAUCAUAAUGUCACCUAAUUUUAGAGCCCAAAGGAGCUUUGGAGGUCAUUCUGUCUAUUGCCCCUAAAAUGCAUGGGGUUAGACUGCCCCGGAGAAGUCAAGUGAUUUGCUCAGGGUCACUCACCUAGCUAAUGGUUUUAGAUUUGAAGCCUCUAAUUCAGCAAACUACUUUAUAGUUUUUACAAAAGUCAUAGGACACCAUCAGUAACAGAAACUAGCUCCCCCCUCCACCCCGCCCCAGGCUUCCAAAGGAAUGAAGAAAAUAGAUGUUUUGACUUUUGACUGAGGUGCUUUUCCAGGUGAAGGUAAUGGAUGAGUAUUUAUAUGAUCAAACCACUACAUUAUUUGAAAGCGGCACGGAAGAAAUAAGACAGGGUUCCUGCCUAUCGGUAACUUUUAACUAUGACUUUAAGCCCCAUUCUAGAUGGGAAAAACUGUAUUUGGUUUUUUUUUGAAUGACGACACACUACUGUAUUAAGGGGAUUUUGGUGAUUUUUCUUCUACAUUUUCAUCUACAUUCAUCAUAUUUUCAUAAUUAAUGUUAGUGAAAUUUUAUAACAAGAUAUGUUUAGUAUUUUUAAAACCUUGAAUAGAAUUGACUUUAUUUUUCAGAAAGUAGUACUCUAUUUGUACAGAUAUAUUUACACAAUAUAGUAGUUAUUCACUACCUGCUUUGCCAGGGAUUUUUUUUUUUUUUAAAGAUUUUAUUUAUUUAUUUGAGACAGAAUGAGAGAGAGAGAGAGAGAGAGCACAUGAGUGGGGGGAGGGUCAGAGGGAGAAGCAGACUCCCUGCCGAGCAGGGAGCCCGAUGCGGGACUCGAUCCAGGGACUCCAGGAUCAUGACCUGAGCCGAAGGCAGUCGCUUAACCAACUGAGCCACCCAGGCGCCCUUUGCCAGGGAUUUUUAUAGUUGCUGGGGUACAGUAGAAAACAGAACAAAGACCCAGUCUUCAUGGACCUUACAUUCAAGUCUGAGAUUUCAGUGUAUUUGGAAAAAAUAAAAAUAAAAAACACAAAUAAAUUAAGGUGACUUCAUUUUUAAAAAUUCUAAUGAAAAUGUUUUAGGGCUUUUUUGGAUGUAAAACAUAUUUUCUACUGUUUAUGAUACUUAUUUCAGGAAAUAUUCAGUUGGCCUGUGUAUGGGACCAAGGGAAAUACAAUAUCCAUUUAAAAGUCUUUUUCAUAUAUUAAUGAUUUAUUGCACUUUCAUGGCUUAUUGCUGUAGAAAUCUACCUGGAAUGCUUAUAAAUUAGGAAACAACUGUAGCUAGGUAGUUUGCAUAAAAUACAUACAGAAUUUAUGAGAAUUCAAGCUCUGGAGUCACACUCAUUUGACUUCCCCACUUUCCACUACAUGGUAGUUUAUGACCUAGGACAAGUGUUUUAACUUCUGAGUCUGAGUUGACUUAUCUGUAAAAAGGGAUAAUAAAGUGUCUACCUCGUAGGCUUGUUAUGAGGGACAUAAUUCAUGCAAAGUUCUUGAUACACAGUGCCCAAUAAAAGCUAGCUGUUAAGAAAACUUGUUUUAGCACUAUUUUUACUAUUACUACUACUGCCUUGCUACUAUUAUUGUGGAGAAUCUUAGUAGAUAUUCUGUAUACUAUAUUGUGUAUACUCCACGUGCUUAAUUGUUUUAACAUGACUUGUAUUCAGCAGUGUAAUCUUCAUGUAACUGGAGAACUGUAUAAUCAGUGAUAUAGCUGUUAAUUUGCUAAAACUUGUGGAAACAUUGAAGUGUAGUCAUCACCUGCUUUGCUACAGCUACAUUAUUUAUGUAUUUGAGCUGAGCAUCCAGUCUUCCUCUUUAGGAUUUUUACUGUUCUGUUUCAAUAAAGGUAGGAUGAAGGAGUAAAAAUGUAAUCACUUAAAUGACUUAAGACCCUAGAGUUACAGCAUUUGAAACAAAGCAUGCAUAUUUCUGAUAUUUUUUAUUUUGUUACAUGUUAAUUAAAAAGAAUCCACGUGACUCUUCAACCAUCCUUCCAGUGCUGUUUAGCCAGCAAAUAGUAUUAAGCAGCUACUAUGAUUUACAGUCUGUGUUAAUUACUCCAGUUCAUUCAGGAGUGAAUUGGCUGCUGCUUCUUAGGGAGCUUAUAGUUUAGUUGGAUGAGACAAGACAUGUACAUAAUAAAGUAAGUGAGAAGUGCAAUGAGAGAGGUAUAGAUUAUGUGCUUUGUGAAUUGUGUGGCCAGCCAUGUUUCUCCUCCAGUGCUUUAGUUCAUUGCACUGUCUGCUGUUAAUUAAAUUACUCAGAGGUCACUAACUGAGUCUGUUCCUCAUAGCCAAGAACUCAGAAAGACGUUGUUAAGAACUGAAGGGUCUGAAAAUUGAGCAUACUACAAUUUUAUGAAUAUUGGUAGAAGAUAUGAGAUUCCUGGGUGUAGAGACAAAGAACUUUAUUAUUCAUGACAGUGCGUGUAACAUGAGCUUCAUAUUUGUAUUGACUUCCUUUGCCCCCUCAAAAGGCAACAUACAGGGUUUCAGUUCAGGCAGAUGCUACUCACAUAGUGGGUUUGCAUCAUAGCUGAGAAGCCCUUGAGUGUAGGGAAUCUGAGUCUUUGCUAAUGUGCUGCAUGGAAACUUAAUCUGACUUUUUUUUCCUAGAGGAAGACCUUAUCUUUAUUAUACAGGACAGUAAAAAGCCUGCUCUCUCCUCAGGAGGGAGGCAUUGUUUUCCAAGACUGUUCACUCUUCAAAUACAUCCUUGACAAGAUAAUCUGGAUGAAAGCCCCAGUGCCUCCACACUGAAAACAUGCAGAAAUGCUAGAGACCUGUAGAGAACUAUCUCCCAAUUGGCCUCGGAGUAGCUAGCCUAAAUGGAUGUCUCAGAGUUCAUGAAUUAAUGUUCAUGUACAUUGCCUGUUUAUUCUUAAGCUGCAUCUCAGAGGCCUUUUUUAUUUCUUAAAUGCUCUAUGCUAUAUACUACUGCUUAUCCUGAAUUAAAAUUUGAUUCUCUUUAGAGUAAGCAAAUAUUGAACUCAGAUUGAGGUGUUUAGGAGUGGGUGUACUGAUGUCUUCAACUUACUUUGCAUCAAAAAUAAGAUGGAUGGACAGAGAGAUGGAUAAAUAGGUUGAUAGUCUCAAAUACAACAAAAUGUUAAUUGUCAAAUCUAGGUGAUGGAUAGAUGAUUGUUUACAAUGAUUUCAAUUUCUUUGUAUAAAAAUUUGCAAUAAAAUGUUGGGGGAAAAGCCAAGCCAAUUGCUCUCUUCUAUUCUCUCCCCCAACUCAGUUUUCUUUGCAACUAAACUCACCUUGGCAUUUUCAAGAAAACUUCAUUGGCAAUUCUUAUCAAAAUGUAGAUGGUUGACAACAUUUAAAAAAUUUGUUUAGUCAGAGUGUCUAUUUUGGCCGUUUUAAGCAUAAUGGGCUUCUUUUUAAAAUUGGGGAUUUGGAGAAUAAGGGUCCCACUUGUAAAAGGAAAUCAUUGUUCUGCAUGCUAGCAUUUUAGGUAUACAGCCUGAGUAUAAAGGGCAUUUCAUGCAGGAAAAAUAUUUUUAGGUAAAGGAGGCAGACCAGUUCCACUUGACAUAUCCUUCUUGGUGAGCUGCCCUAAACUUUUACUACCUUUUUGACAUUUUAGGUUGCAGGUCUUUUCAAAUUUAAUGUCCAGACUUUUUUUUUUUACAAGGCCAUAUUUGUGUCUGUUACAUUUCUGAUUUUUAGAAUUUGGGGCAGGGCAUAGGAUUUUGGCUUACUGGCAAUAGCAAUGGUAGUUGGAAUUAGGACACAAUACUUAAUGACAGGAAAUGUUAUGGCUGCUUAAAAGUGAGACUAAAGGAGGAAACAACCCAUGUAAUUAUAAAAGGUAGGGUUAUUUUGAUAAGUUUUUUUUUUUUUCAGUUGAUGACUACAAGUAAGUGUAACCUGUAUCAUAUGGAAUUUUGUUUUAUAUGAAAUACUAUUAUAUAUAAACAGUGAAAUUUCAUCUCUAACCUAGGAAGUAUGUAUGAAAUGGUAGCUGUGAUUGGUGACUAGUAUACUAUUAGGUAAUCUUAAAAUGGAUAUUUUCAGUGAUUGUUUCUAAAUGUUAAACCAAGCAUUUACAUUAGACAACUGACAGGAUUUUCCUCAACUAGAGGGAUGAAGUUUUAGAAGUCCUCAAAAAGUACAUUUUUUAUGUGAAUUGCUUCAGAUGUUUACUUUCUCCUCAAAAUUGCUUUUCACUUUUUUUUUUCAGGUUUUUUUUUUUUAAGCAUACAUCAAGAAUCAGCUUUUCUAAAAAAAUUGUUUUGCAUAAAUGAAAAAUAUGUACGGUUUAUAGAAUUACCAAAAAGUUAAAUACCCAUGUAAUCACUGCCUAGGACAAGAACUAGAACUUGGCUAAUCAUUCUGAAAACCUUCUUUGUACCCUCCCAGUUACUAUCUUUCCUCGCAUAGUUGAUCCCUAUACCGUAUGGUAAUCUUUCACUUGUUUUUCUUAAUGGUUUAACAACCAGGGCUUUGCAAAGGGUAAGUUUUCAGUUAGUCAAGCAGGAGAUUACAGAUAUAAUGCAGUGGUUUUUAACUCUAUUGUACAGGAUACCCCAUUUUUAUAUUUUGUAUUCUUUAAUGCCCACUUUAUCAUAUCAAAAUAAAAUUCAUGUAUAAUAUUGCCUACCAGCAUACAAAUUUAAAAUUUUAAUAUACUGUCCUAAUUAUAACAUAAAGGAGAAGAAAAAAGGAAAUUUAUAAUGAAAUAAGCAUUUCAGUGUAAAUAUUUGGGCAUGGCUGUGACAAGAGGGAAUGAAGUAGCCAGAUAUUUGUAACCUUCCUAAUGACAAGUAAGUUUGGAUUUAGGAGAACACAAGUUAUCUGAAUAGGGCUGACUGGUUUUCUUUAACAUUUUGAAAUAAGAGCAAAAUAAGAAAAUUUAUGCAUAUGGGUAGAAUUGUGUGUGUCACCUACAAAUGUCUGCUGAUAACAAGUGUGUUGGGUGAUUCAAGUAUCAUGAGUGGCAUUGCUGUUGAUAAUUGUAAUGGUAAACUUAACCUUUUCAAGUUUUGGAGGAAAGAAAACAGAUUUUUCCUUUUUACACACUAGAUAUAUUUCUGGAAAAGAGAUUUUCACCAGUAUGAAUUUCUGGGAGGGGUAUUUGAAAAUUCCAUAGGAUGAGGGCAUGAUACUUCUUUGUAUGGGACUGCCCAGGUAUUGCAGAAUGUCUAACACCUUGUUCAUUCUUCUUCUCUCCCCCCCUCAUCCCCCCCCAGUAGCAUCACUCACUCAGUCCUAAUGUCAGGCAGAAAUACCUGUGAGGGGUUACACCCUUGGAUUUAGGAUUUGGUUGUGGUGCUUUUCAAUAAAUUAUAUAACUUUUCCUCUAUUUUUGAGGGUCUGUAAAGGUAGAUUUCACUGGGUCUUUUUAACCUGGAGGAUUCAGAGAUCUAUGAUACGGUAGCCUUUUUUGUUGUUGUUGUUAUAAUUUAUUACUACUUCUUCUUAUUAAGCGCUAGCUUAAUACUGCAGAAAAUUUCAAAUCACCUUUUGACAACCCAUUCUUCCCUUUCCCACCCAGAUUCUUGAUAAAGAGCUCUUAAAGUGAAGACACAUUCUUUUCUCUCUUCUGUAUAUAACUUCGUCAAAUAGAGGCAAAGAACUAUGUACAUCUUGCUGUAAAAUGCUGCCCAUGGCUAUGGAAACAGUGUUUGCCCAGGUUCCUUUUAUUGUCCAGGUCCUGAAAGACUCUUGUUUAUGAAUUUUCUCUUCACAAAGCCUGCACCCCCCCCACCUGCCCUAACCUCUCUAUCUCACCCUUACCCCCCCCCAAAUUCCAUGUAAAUUUUUUGUGAAUAUUUGUGUGUUAUUUUGCGGUAUGGUAUAUAGCUUUCAUCAGAUUCUCAAGGGUUCUCUGACCACAAAAGUGGAUCAGAUGUUUCUCUCCCUGAUUUCUUAUAACAAUUAAAUAUGGUUAUUCUUAUUUUUUUAUUUUAAUCUGGUUAUUCUUAUGCUAGCGUUCAUCAUUACGUGCUGAGUUUCCAUUUUAACCUGGAAAAUGGGCUCAGACUCUGAGCUGUCUGCUGGGAGAGCAACCCUUGGCUGAGAUGCUCAGGUAGAGGGACACAGUGGAGCAGAAAAUUUCAAAUUCAGAUGUUAGUCGGGCUUAUUUAUUUGUUAGGUGUGUAAUUUCACAUUUUACUGAUAAGGUUAAUAUAUUCAGUUAACAACUUUGCUUUAAAUUGUUGGGCUUUUUUCUUUAGACCUAUUACCUUCAUCUUUAGAUAGUUUGCAUUUUUGUGUCACAACCACAAUCUAUUAUUAAAGAUAUAUAAGCUCUCUCAGGCAAUAUACAUUUUAAGUACUGUUUUAGAAUUCAUAUGUUGAUGGAAUUUGACACAUGGUCGUUUUCUAAAUCACUUAAAAGUCUGUUAUUUUACCUUAUCUUGGAAAAUUAGUAUUUUCCUCUAAAAUUGAGGUGAUUUUAAAAAUUGAAUUUAAAAAAUCUUACGUAUGUUAUAAAAAGGAUUGUUCAAAAUUAAAGUUUUGUGAAAAGUUUCUUUUGUCAUGUUACUAAGAAAUUUUUUUUUUUUUUAAAGAUUUCAUUUAUUUGAUAGAGCGAGAGGGAACAGUAGAGAGAGAGGGAGAAGCAGGUUCCCUGCCAAGCAGGGAGCCCGAUGCGGGGCUCAAUCCCAGGACCCUGGGAUCAUGACCUGAGCCGAAGGCAGACGCUUAACACACUCAGGCGCCCCACUAAGAAAUUGUUUUUAUCCAUGCUUGCUGCUAAUGCUAGAUAGAGUCCUAGUUGAAAUAGUCCUAUAAAAAUUUACACAUUCUCAGAUAUCUGUAGUAAUUUAUGAAUUUUGAGAAUGUUAAGAAAUGGAAUCUUUUAAGACUCCCAGUUUCAUCAGUAGUUUAAAAUAGGUUUGUAGCCAAUGAUAUUGUGGGUUCAAGUGCAAAAUGGACAGAUUGCAAUAUUCCUCUUUACCUAUGGUGGAGUUGUUAAUUAGCUGCUUGUUGAAAAAUGGAAGCAUUUGGUAUUGAAGUAGAGGGGGUAAAAUAAUACACAAAUUGAGUGAGUAAUAUUACCAUAUAAUUAAAGCAAUCUCUUCAGAAGAUUAUACUUUGUAUAUAUACUUAAAAAAACCACAUGCAUACCUGUUGAUUUAAAUAGCUAUUUUUCAUUAAUUUUUUUGUAGCUGUUUCACUGUCUUUGUUUUCUACUGAUGUUUUCUCAUUUCUGUCUUCUCCCUCUUAAGAGUUCCAAAUUUUGUUAGAAAAUAUUUUACAACUUAAAUUUUAAGUGUAAGGUAAGAUCAUUUCAUUCCUUAGGACUUGAAAUAAUGACCUCUUAAUGGCCUUAACUUUGAAGUCUGUUUUCCUCUGGUUGCAUUAGGCAGAUCUGUUUGUUUUCAUCUCCUGCACUCUUCCUAAUGCCUCUCUUCAUUUGGCUGUAUUUGUUGUUCCCCUUCAAAUCUUUGUCUUAGAUGAUUUUCCAAUAUUCAACUAAAUGGGAAACUAUCUGGUAGAGUUGAAUUUUCUCAGUCUGGGCUCUAUACUAUAAGGUUUGCUUAUAGACAUGCUUAUUUUUAUUUAUUUAAAUAGUCUCUGUAGUGGUUGUCUUUGAUUUCACCCUUUUUGCUUUUUAAAAAAUACAACUUUUCGACUGAUUGCUUUGAAAGCCAUCUAAAACUGCUUUUGGGUUAGUUAGGAGUGUGUAGUUAAUGCUUCCUCUUGGGACAUACUUUUUAUCUUUUGUGCCCAAAGUAAAAGGUAUUCAUUUUAUUGUCUAAAUUAAUUUACAUAAUGUCUUACAGGCUUCUCUUCAGCCAAGAUAAAAAAUGGCUAUAAUCUUUCUUUUAU